CCUACGGGUGGCAGCAGUGGGGGAUAUUGCACAAUGGGGGAGACCCUGAUGCAGCGACGCCGCGUGGGUGAAGAAGCGCCUCGGCGCGUAAAGCCCUGUCAGCAGGGAAGAAAAUGACGGUACCUGAAGAAGAAGCCGCGGCUAACUACGUGCCAGCAGCCGCGGGAAUACGGAGGGGGCAAGCGUUAUCCGGAUUUACUGGGUGUAAAGGGGGCGCAGUGGGCGCUGCAAGCCAGGAGUGAAACCCCGGGGCCCAACCCCGGGACUGGUCUUGGAACUGCGUGGCUAGAGUGCAGGAGGGGCAGGCGGAAUUCCUGGUGUAGCGGUGAAAUGCGUAGAUAUCAGGAGGAACACCGGUGGCGAAGGCGGCCUGCUGGACUGCAACUGACGUUGAGGCCCGAAAGCGUGGGGAGCGAACAGGAUUAGAUACCCCAGUAGUC
rnacentral:rRNA from 1 species